rnacentral:rRNA from 1 species
AGUGAACGCUGGCGGUAGGCCUAACACAUGCAAGUCGAACGGCAGCACAGUAAUAGCUUGCUCUUACGGGUGCCGAGUGGCGGACGGGUGAGGAAUACAUCGGAAUCUACUUUUUCGUGGGGGAGAACGUAGGGAAACUUACGCUAAUACCGCAUACGACCUACGGGUGAAAGCAGGGGAUCUUCGUACCUUUCGCGAUUGAAUGAGCCGAUGUCGGAUUAGCUAGUUGGCGGGGUAAAGGCCCACCAAGGCGACGAUCCGUAGCGGGUCUGAGAGGAUGAUCGGCCACACUGGAACUGAGACACGGUCCAGACUCCUACGGGAGGCAGCAGUGGGGAAUAUUGGACAAUGGGCGCAAGCCUGAUCCAGCCAUCCCGCGUGGGUGACGAAGGCCUUCGGGUUGUAAAGCCCUUUUGUUGGGAAAGAAAAGCAGCAGGUUAAUACCCAGCUGUUCUGACGGUACCCAAAGAAUAAGCACCGGCUAACUUCGUG